rnacentral:rRNA from 1 species
AUUGAACGCUGGCGGCAGGCCUAACACAUGCAAGUCGAACGAGUGGCGGACGGGUGAGUAAUGGAUGGGAAACUGCCCGAUGGAGGGGGAUAACUACUGGAAACGGUAGCCAAUACCGCAUACCAUCGGAUGUGCCCAGAUGGGAUUAGCUAGUGGGUGGGGUAACGGCUCACCUAGGCGACGAUCCCUAGCUGGUCUGAGAGGAUGACCAGCCACACUGGAACUGAGACACGGUCCAGACUCCUACGGGAGGCAGCAGUGGGGAAUAUUGCACAAUGGGCGCAAGCCUGAUGCAGCCAUGCCGCGUGUAUGAAGAAGGCCUUCGGGUUGUAAAGUACGUUCAGCGAGGAGGCGUUACUCGCAGAAGAAGCACCGGCUAACUCCGUGCCAGCCGCCGCGGUAAUAC